GGUGUAGCUCAGUGGUAGAGUGCUUGCCUAGAAUGUACAAGCUCCUGGGUUUGAUCCCCAGCACC
rnacentral:tRNA from 1 species